rnacentral:lncRNA from 1 species
AGUGCUGAUUCCCCGACUCUUUGGUGGUUGCUAAGUGUUGAUUCCACCAUAUCCUUGAAUGUGAAAGGGGUUGCUAAGUGCUGAUUCCCCGAAUCACUGGUGGUUGCUAAGUGAUGAUUCCACCAUAUCCUUGAAUGUAAAAAGGGGUUGCUAAGUGCUGAUUCCCCGAAUCACUGGUGGUUGCUAAGUGUUGAAUCCACCGAUAACGGUUAUCAUUCCGAGUGUUCAACGAGUAAAUUGGGAAGGUGAAUAUUUAUACAUAUGGUGGACAAGGUUAUGGGAGGAAUAUUGGGUUUGAUACUUAAUCAACUCAUGUAUAAGAUGGGAGGAAAU